rfam:Microgenomates bacterium GW2011_GWC1_39_12 TT26_C0046, whole genome shotgun sequence.
GCCGAGGUAGCUCAGUUGGCAGAGCAACGCUUUCGUAAAGCGUGGGUCGGGGGUCCGAUUCCCCCCCUCGGCU